rnacentral:lncRNA from 1 species
UCGCACAAAAAAAAUGAUCGAUCUUCUUUCAUGAUAUUGACCGUUGGAUCAUAUGUUGUGUAGACCUCAAAAUGUACAUAUUAAAUUUUUUCAUUCAUCUAUCUGUACAAAUCUUGAAGCAGCCAUUGUGUGAUCAAAUGGUGGAUUCGCACGAAGGAAGGUGAAUCCUUCUUUCAUGUGAAAGAUACAAACCAGUAUCAUGGGAAGACUAAUAUUCCUUACAUAAAUAGUGUUAAAGUAUGUUGCAUCAUAAAAAAAGAGCUCCUUGUCCACCCUCACACUCUGGGUGUGGUGAUUACGCUGAAAGGAGACCACAAGGCAGCGAUGGCACACGGUGCGCUACAGCUAAUCCGCUCCGAGUUAGGACAGAGCACUGUUUCCUCUUUACAUUGAAAAGAAAAGUUGUAAAAGAAAGCAGCAGAC